rnacentral:piRNA from 1 species
UAUGGAGUAGUAUAACCAAAA